UAGGUUUUAGUUUAAUUAGAAUGUUUGACUGUUAAUCAUAAGGUAGCAUAGGCUAAACUUAA
rnacentral:tRNA from 1 species